ACCUCAUUGAUAUCUCAGUUGGCAGAGCGGAGGACUGUAGAUGUAUCAACGGUAAUCCUUAGGUCGCUGGUUCAAAUCUGACUUGAGGGA
rnacentral:tRNA from 1 species